UACGGAGGGUGCAAGCGUUAUCCGGAUUUACUGGGUUAAAGGGUGCGUAGGUGGGUUGGUAAGUCAGUGGUGAAAUACUUUCGCUUAACGAAGGAACUGCCAUUGAUACUACCAGUCUUGAAUACAGUGGAGGUAGGCGGAAUGCGUCAUGUAGCGGUGAAAUGCUUAGAUAUGACGCAGAACACCAAUUGCGAAGGCAGCUGGCUACACGAAUAUUGACACUGAUGCACGAAAGCGUGGGGAUCAAACAGG
rnacentral:rRNA from 1 species